AUUGAACGCUGGCGGCAGGCCUAACACAUGCAAGUCGAACGGUAACAGGAAGCAGCUUGCUGCUUUGCUGACGAGUGGCGGACGGGUGAGUAAUGUCUGGGAAACUGCCUGAUGGAGGGGGAUAACUACUGGAAACGGUAGCUAAUACCGCAUAACGUCGCAAGACCAAAGAGGGGGACCUUCGGGCCUCUUGCCAUCGGAUGUGCCCAGAUGGGAUUAGCUAGUAGGUGGGGUAACGGCUCACCUAGGCGACGAUCCCUAGCUGGUCUGAGAGGAUGACCAGCCACACUGGAACUGAGACACGGUCCAGACUCCUACGGGAGGCAGCAGUGGGGAAUAUUGCACAAUGGGCGCAAGCCUGAUGCAGCCAUGCCGCGUGUAUGAAGAAGGCCUUCGGGUUGUAAAGUACUUUCAGCGGGGAGGAAGGCGAUAAGGUUAAUAACCUUGUCGAUUGACGUUACCCGCAGAAGAAGCACCGCUAACUCC
rnacentral:rRNA from 1 species